rnacentral:rRNA from 1 species
UACGUAGGGAGCAAGCGUUGUUCGGAUUUACUGGGCGUAAAGGGCGCGUAGGCGGCGCGGUAAGUCACUUGUGAAAUCUCUGAGCUUAACUCAGAACGGCCAAGUGAUACUGCAGUGCUAGAGUGCAGAAGGGGCAAUCGGAAUUCUCGGUGUAGCGGUGAAAUGCGUAGAUAUCGGGAGGAACACCGGUGGCGAAGGCGGGUCUCUGGGCAUCUCCUGACGCUGAGGCGCGAAAGCGUGGGGAGCAAACGGG